rnacentral:misc_RNA from 1 species
GAUGAAGAACGUAGCGAAAUGCGAUACGUAAUGUGAAUUGCAGAAUUCAGUGAAUCAUCGAAUCUUUGAACGCAUAUUGCGCUCUCUGGUAUUCCGGAGAGCAUGCUUGUUUGAGUAUCAGUAAACACCUCAACUUCCAUAUCUUUUUUUGAAAUGGGAGUUGGACUUGAGUGAUCCCAACGCUUUUCCUCACCGAAAAGUGGCGGGUUACUUGAAAUGCAGGUGCAGCUGGACUUUUCUCUGAGCUAUAAGCAUAUCUAUUUAGUCUGCCUAAAAAACAGAUUAGUACCUUUGCUGCAGCUAACAUAAAGGAGAUUAGUUCUUGUGCUGACUGAUGCAGGAUUCACAAAGACAGCUUCGGCCGACUUUGUAAACUCGAUCUCAAAUCAAGUAAGACUACCCGCUGAACUUAAGCAUAUCAAUAAGCGGAGGA